rnacentral:rRNA from 1 species
GGGUAGUCCACGCCGUAAACGAUGGAUACUGGCUGUUGGAGGUAUCGACCCCUUCAGUAGCGAAGCUAACGCGUUAAGUAUCCCGCCUGUGGAGUACGGCCGCAAGGCUAAAACAUAAAGGAAUUGACGGGGACCCGCACAAGCGGUGGAUCGUGUUCUUUAAUUCGAUGCUAAACGAAGAACCUUACCAGGGCUUGACAUCCAGGGAAUUUUUGGGAAACCAAUUAGUGCCGUUUGGAACCCUGUGACAGGUGAUGCAUGGCCGUCGUCAGCUCGUGUCGUGAGAUGUUUGGUUAAGUCCAUCAACGAGCGCAACCCUUGUGUCUAGUUGUAUUUUUCUAGACAGACUGCUUCGGUAACGGAGAGGAAGGAGGGGAUGAUGUCAGGUCAGUAUUUCCCUUACGUCCUGGGCUAGAAACACGAUACAAUGGCUAGUACAAUGCGCAGCGAAGCCGCGAGGUGAAGCAAAUCGCACCAAAGCUAGUCCCAGUUCGGAUUGGAGGCUGAAACUCGCCUCCAUGAAGUCGGAAUCGCUAGUAAUCGCAAAUCAGCAAGUUGCGGUGAAUACGUUCCCGGGUCUUGUACACACCGCCCGUCAAACCAUGAAAGUGACCAACACCCGAGGUCCGAUUCGUCGGCCUAAGGUGGGGGGCAUGAUUGGGGUUUU